UUAAGUUCAGCGGGUAGUCCUACCUGAUUUGAGGCCAGAUUUGAAUGUAGUGCGAGGAAGCAUCGUCCCAGGCCGUGCAAGCACAGCGAGUUUCGAUGCUACUCCUAGAUUAGAAGCAGGCGACCAUGGAACGGCGCUACCCUCAACCGACGGCAUAAUACUUAUCAUACCAAAGGUGAAGGCUGCAACCAGCCGACCCA
rnacentral:misc_RNA from 1 species